CAGUACUGUUAUGCUCUACUACACAGGAAGUGCUUCAGGGGUGAAUGCCUUGCUCUAUGGAACCUCAACAGCCACCAUACAAAUCUAAUCUCAAUCAUUCACAGUGGGUUUCCUCUAAUAAAAUCCUUUCAAACAUCACUUCACGGUCUUCCUCUGUGCGGCCUCGCCAUGUUUUUGAUCUGAUCCCAUCUUCUUCCUUGACGUCAGUGUGGCUGCUUCCCUGCUGGCUGUUUAUUUUCAUACACGUUCCCGGAGAAAUGAGAGUUUAUACGACUCUGAUAUGGAACAAAUAAGAGGAGAGGAGCUCUGCAGGACAGGGGGUGGAGACAGAGAGGUCCAGAUAUCUCCUGUCAUCUGUUUUUUACCCAUAAACCCUCAAUAUCAGAGGGAAUGGCCCAAUAACUUUGUAUCUUAAUGCAGAAGAAGUUUGUUGUAGUUUGGUGCAGCCAAAAGGUUCACAGUGACCUGAUCCAUUUCUAAACUAACCAUACAAAGGGACCUGAGCAGUUUAAAGAUUUCUGACAGACUGGGGCAAGAAAGGAUUGACUCAACCUUCCUUAAAAUCCUUCAUGUUGGCUCAUAACAGCUCUCUUAAGCUUACUGUACUCUAUCUUGCACUGCUCCCCUGUGGUGCAAGUACAGUCAAAUUUAAAAAAAGGUGCAUAAAUGAUGCAUAUACAGUCAUUCUGAAAUUACCAAGCUGGAUGGGUGUGUGCAGGUUUUCUGUUUUUUUUCUAAUAAUGUCUCAACAUUACAUGAGAGACUUUUAGUAUCGGUUUAUGUAUUAGUUUACUAAUUCAGAAAAUGAAAUCAUAGGGGAGUUAACUUAGUUGUUGUAUCUGUUAUAUGUUAUAGCUGUGUAUCUUUCUUUUGAUGUCCCUGUAUUGUAUUUAUCUCUUCUCUAUUUCUUAUGCCCUUUGAUGCUGAUAUGUUACCAAUGGGUCUGCAAUAAGGCAUUGAAUAAGAAAAGCUGUACAUAUGUGAAUGUCUGACACACUGAACAAACUUUUCAGUAUUUAUCAGAGCAGCAUGCUUCCCUCACGGAGAGACACUCUAGGUACAAAGCUGUCAUAUAGAUUAUCCCGGUAAAUUGAAACGCAGAGAGAAUUGUGUGAAAUAUCUACACUGUUAUUUCUGUAUCCUGCCUGCUGCCAUGUGUAGGAUUUACAACCUGUGGCCUUGUGCUAACAACACAGCUGAGAAUAUCCUCAGUAAUGUAGACAUCACAUUCAACACGUAGCCCCUCUAUAAAAGGAACAAAGCUGCUUAUAAAAUCUGACAUCACUUCAUGUACAACCUCAUACACUGAGCAGACACAGCCCUGCAAAAGAAAUGUCACCGCUCCUGUCACGGCUGUAAAAUCACCCUAUUUGUACAUCUGAGGUCAUAAGAUGUGCAUGAGAUAAAUAUGACAGGAUCUGUCUGAGUUAACGAGGCCUCUUAUGACUGAGCGCAACUGAUCUGCAGUUCGCACACAUCAGAAUUUUAACAUGAGUCACGAGUGACUAAUUUCUUCAGCUAAAUAUUAGAUAUCUAAUUAGGCUGAGUCAUGCCUGGAGUGAGCAACAGGAUGAAGUUUUACCACGAAUUAAAACUACAAAUGAAGUAAAUGAAGAUGACGUAUUUGGUCAUAAAUUAAAUAAGGCAAUGACCAGAUGAUGGCCGCAGAUUAGAAGUCACCGUGAAAGUUGUUUCAGUUCAAUUUUGUCUUUCUACGAUUUUUUUCACAGAAGUCAUUUGGUCAGUUACGUAGCCAAUGCACAGAACCAUGGUUUGGACAAUGCUGAUCUCUACAUACAUAAAUUGAAGUUACCUUGAAAAGUUAUCAAAGUCUUCCAGCAUGGCAGCCUUGGGUGCAUCAGAGAUGGUUGAACCAAAGCCUCUUCAAAGAGAAGAUAAGAAAG